AACGAACGCUGGCGGUAUGCUUAACACAUGCAAGUCGAACGGACUUAUGGGGCUUGCUCUAUAAUGUUAGUGGCAAACGGGUGAGUAACGCGUGGGAAUCUACACAUCAGUACGGAAUAACAUUUGGAAACAAAUGCUAAUACCGUAUAUUCUCUACGGAGGAAAGAUUUAUCGCUGAUGGAUGAGCCCGCGUUGGAUUAGCUUGUUGGUAGGGUAAUGGCCUACCAAGGCGACGAUCCAUAGCUGGUCUGAGAGGAUGAUCAGCCACACUGGGACUGAGACACGGCCCAGACUCCUGCGGGAGGCAGCAGUGGGGAAUAUUGGACAAUGGGCGAAAGCCUGAUCCAGCAAUACCGCGUGAGUGAUGAAGGUCUUAGGAUUGUAAAGCUCUUUUAAUAGGGAAGAUAAUGACGGUACCUAUAGAAAAAGCCCCGGCUAACUUCGUGCCAGCAGCCGCAGUAAAAC
rnacentral:rRNA from 1 species